rnacentral:lncRNA from 1 species
UUGUGUCAGGGCAGUGGCAUAGUUUCCCAAAGACCAAAAAAAUACCUGGAGAGUGCAUACGAGAAAAAUGUCCUUAUUGAGAAAUGCCUAUGGGGAGGGUCCAGCAGUGACAGGCUGAACCACAGCACCUCCCUCCCUCACACUGCUUUGCCAAGCAGGGCUUCCUCCUCCUCAGGACAUUUUGUCUUUGAACCUUGGUGGGAUGAGUGACACUUAUCCUUUCCACAGUGCCCUCAGUUCUAUCCCUGCCACCAAGAAGAGAAAGGUUUUAAUCUGAUUUUUUAAUUUGUUCUUUUUAGUUAGUUAUACAUGACAGCAGAGUCUAUUUUGACAUGUUUAUACAAACAUAGAGUGCAUCUUUUCCUAAUUAGGAUCCCAGGCUUGUGGAUGUACAUGAUAUAGAGAUUCAUUUUGAUGUAUUCACAUAUGAAUAUAGUAAAGUUAAGUCAGAUUCAUUCCACUGAUUUUCCCAUUCCCUUUCCCCUUCCCUUUUCUUCAUUCCCCAUUGUCUAAUCCUCUGAAGUUCUAUUCUUCCUUUCCUUUCCCCCCUGUAUGUGUUAGCAUCCAAAUAUCAGAACAUUUGACCUUUGGUUUAUUGGAACUGCUUAUUUUACUUAGCAUGAUAGUUUCCAGAUCCAUCCAUUUACUGACAUAUGUCAUAAAUUCAUUCCUAUUUAUGUCUGAGUAAUAUUCCUUUGUGCAGAUAUACCACAUUUUCUUUAUGCAUUCAUGUUGUGGGCCACAACCAAGUCAAGAUGGUGCCUGGAAGUUUGCCAGGAGGAGUGUUUUUUGAAGUAAUGCCAGGGAGACAUUAAGAUGAUGAGGAUUCUUUAAUGACUGACUGCUCUAUCUAGAUGAUGUUAAUUAAGUUAAGCUGUGUGUAAUUAGUUGGGUAUAUAUACCUCUGCUGUCUCGUAAUAAAAUGGCUCCUUUUGUUUCAAUCUUCACAAGUUGCUUGUCACCUCCCGGUUAUUUGCCCAGCCAGACUGCGGCAGAUGGUGGCCCAUAAGGGGAGCCCUGGGAUGCUUGG